rnacentral:rRNA from 1 species
CGGAGGAUCCAAGCGUUAUCCGGAAUCAUUGGGUUUAAAGGGUCCGUAGGCGGUUUAGUAAGUCAGUGGUGAAAGCCCAUCGCUCAACGGUGGAACGGCCAUUGAUACUGUUAGACUUGAAUUAUUAGGAAGUAACUAGAAUAUGUAGUGUAGCGGUGAAAUGCUUAGAGAUUACAUGGAAUACCAAUUGCGAAGGCAGGUUACUACUAAUGGAUUGACGCUGAUGGACGAAAGCGUGGGUAGCGAACAGGAUUAGAUACCCUGGUAGUCCACGCCGUAAACGAUGGAUACUAGCUGUUGGGAGCGAUCUCAGUGGCUAAGCGAAAGUGAUAAGUAUCCCACCUGGGGAGUACGUUCGCAAGAAUG